rnacentral:tRNA from 1 species
GCCUUUGUGGUGUAAUGGUCAGCGCACUCGGCGUGUAUUAGGGAAGUCCGAGGUUCGAGUCCCGGCGAGAGCA